rnacentral:rRNA from 1 species
UACGUAGGUGGCGAGCGUUGUUCGGAUUUAUUGGGCGUAAAGGGUCCGUAGGAGGUUGGUUAAAUUUGGGGUGAAAUCCCGGAGCUCAACUCCGGAACUGCCUUGAAGACUGAUCAACUAGAGUACUGGAGAGGUAAGCGGAAUUCCAGGUGUAGCGGUGGAAUGCUUAGAUAUCUGGAAGAACACCGAAAGCGAAGGCAGCUUACUGGCCGGUCACUGACUCUCAUGGACGAAAGCGUGGGGAGCAAACAGG